AUGUACGCGUCACUCGUCUCCUCCGCUUGGCCUGGCUUUGGUUUGCGCCAGCCAUCAUCUCAGAUCAGCCACCAUCUAAGAUCGGCCACCACCUCAGACAGGCCACCACCUCAGACAGGCCACCAUCUCAGACAGGCCACCAUCUCAGGCAGGACACCAUCUCAGACAGGACACCAUCUCAGACAGGACACCACAUCAGGCAGGCCACCACCUCAGACAGGCCACCACCUCAGACAGGACACCACCUCAGGCAGGCCACCUUCUCAGGCAGGCCACCACCUCAGACAGGCCACCACCUCAGACAGGCCAUCAUCUCAGACAGGACACCAUCUCAGACAGGACACCAUCUCAGACAGGCCAUCAUCUCAGACAGGCCACCAUCUCAGACAGGACAGGACACCACCUCAGACAGGCCACCACCUCAGACAGGACAGGACAGGACACCACCUCAGACAGGCCACCACCUCACACAGGACACCAUCUCAGACAGGCCACCACCUCAGACAGGACACCACCUCAGACAGGACAGGACACCACCUCAGACAGGACAGGACACCAUCUCAGACAGGACACCAUCUCAGACAGGACAGGACACCAUCUCAGACAGGACACCAUCUCAGACAGGCCACCAUCUCAGGCCACCACCUCAGACAGGACACCACCCCAGGACACCACCUGAGACAGGCCACCACCUCAGGGAAGCAGCUUCCCAAAGAGGCACCUUCAACGAGCCAUCUCUCAGCCCGCGAAGCCUCCGGAAUGUCUCCUUUUCCCCUCGUCUCCCCGAUCCCGUCUCCCAUACAGGAAGGCCGGUCCACGAGGAGACACUUGAGAGACUGGGCUGGACGGGGACAAGCCUCGAACGUCCAGCUCGGUCUGAAUGGUUACGACAAAGCCGGAGGCCUGGACACCCGUUUGGCCAACGAGCGUGGGGAGCAGGUGCCCGCGGCGCGUUCCUCCCGAGAUGGCCCAGACGAGAUGGCCCAGACGAGAUGGCCCAGACGCAGCACUGCGGGGCGGCUGGGAGGAGCGGAAGGGAGGGGAAGAAAGCCCAGGCCCAGGGAGGAGCCACAGCAGGGGGCAGGGGGGCAGGCGGGGCGCCGGCGGGGAGGGGGGCUGAGGCUGGAGAACCCUGCUCUAGACAGGAGAGGGGGCCGCUUCCACCCUGGGGAGGGCCGUGGAGCUGGAGGAGAGCUGGGCUCGGGAGUGUGA
rnacentral:lncRNA from 1 species